GAUGAAGAACGUAGCGAAAUGCGAUACUUGGUGUGAAUUGCAGAAUCCCGUGAACCAUCGAGUCUUUGAACGCAAGUUGCGCCCGAAGCCACUAGGCCGAGGGCACGCCUGCCUGGGCGUCACACGUCGUUGCCCCCCACCAUCUACUCCUUCGGGAUUGCGGGGGGCGGAUGAUGGCCUCCCGUGCGCCUAGCCGCGCGGUUGGCAUAAAUACCAAGUCCUCGGCGACGCACGCCACGACAAUCGGUGGUUGCGAAACCUCGGUUGCCCGUCGUGUGCGUUCGUCGCGCAUCGAGGGCUCGAAAAAAUGCUCGGCUCCGACUCGGCUUUCAACGCGACCCCAGGUCAGGCGGGGUUACCCGCUGAAUUUAAGCAUAUCAAUAGCGGAGGA
rnacentral:misc_RNA from 1 species